GCGCCCAUAGCUCAGCCCGGAUAGAGCGCUGCCCUGCGGAGGCAGAGGUCAGAGGUUCAAAUCCUCUUGGGCGCGCCA
rnacentral:tRNA from 1 species